AGUGAACGCUGGCGGUAGGCCUAACACAUGCAAGUCGAACGGCAGCACAGUAAGAGCUUGCUCUUACGGGUGGCGAGUGGCGGACGGGUGAGGAAUACAUCGGAAUCUACUUUUUCGUGGGGGAUAACGUAGGGAAACUUACGCUAAUACCGCAUACGACCUACGGGUGAAAGCAGGGGAUCUUCGGACCUUGCGCGAUUGAAUGAGCCGAUGUCGGAUUAGCUAGUUGGCGGGGUAAAGGCCCACCAAGGCGACGAUCCGUAGCUGGUCUGAGAGGAUGAUCAGCCACACUGGAACUGAGACACGGUACAGACUCCGACGGGAGGCAGCAGUGGGGAAUAUUGGAAAAUGGGGGCAAGCCUGAUCCAGCCAUACCGGGUGGGUGAAGCAGGCCUUCGGGUUGUAAAGCCCUUUUGUUGGGAAAGACAAGCAGCAGGUUAAUACCCCGCUGUUCUGACGGUACCCAAAGAAUAAGCACCGGCUAACUUCGUG
rnacentral:rRNA from 1 species